AAUGAACGCUGGCGGCAGGCCUAACACAUGCAAGUCGAACGAGAAGCCAGGCUUCGGCCUGGUGGAAAGUGGCAGACGGGUGAGGAACGCGUGGGAAUUUACCCAGUGGUACGGAAUAACUUCGGGAAACCGGAGCUAAUACCGUAUAAGCCCUUCGGGGGAAAGAGUUUAUCGCCAUUGGAUGAGCCCGCGUCGGAUUAGCUUGUUGGUGGGUAAAAGCCCACCAAGGCGACGAUCCGUAGCUGGUCUGAGAGGAUGAUCAGCCACACUGGGACUGAGACACGGCCCAGACUCCUACGGGAGGCAGCAGUGGGGAAUAUUGCACAAUGGGCGCAAGCCUGAUGCAGCCAUGCCGCGUGAGUGAAGAAGGCCCUAGGGUUGUAAAACUCUUUCACCGGUGAAGAUAAUGACGGUAGCCGGAGAAGAAGCCCCGGCUAACUCCGUG
rnacentral:rRNA from 1 species